rnacentral:lncRNA from 1 species
AGUACACAGGAGGGCACUGGAGCCCAUAAAGAUUGUCAUUUACCCUACGGCUCCAGUCAAAUUAGCUGCAGAGCUGGCAUUGGAACCCAAUUUUCUUAAUGCAUAAGUCAGUUUUUUUUCCAAAUGAAUAAGCAUUUCCAUGUAAUUAUGUAAUUUCAUCUUGGUUAUAAAUAAUGCAUAAUGUUUCAUAAGCGUUUUCUACUUUCUACUAUUGUAAGUAAAACUAUGGGUGUUUUUUCAGUCAAGAACUAUUUAUCAGGCACUAAAAAUAAACAAAAGAAUCUCUGCCUCAUGGAGUUUAUAUUCUGACAGAGAAGUAUCAUCUCAAUUACAGUUGUUUCCUUAGGAUAGAGUAUAAGUGAAUUCUCAUAUUACAAAUGAAAAUGUUUAGUAAGUGCAUUUCUAAACAUUAAAAUCAACUUUCUCUCUCUUAAAUUCUGUUUCAGAAGUCUACUACUGUUUUUCUUUUCUUUUCUUUUCUUUUCUUUUCUUUUCUUUUCUUUUCUUUUCUUUUCUUUUCUUUUCUUUUUUCUUUUCUUUGAGGCAGGGUCUCCCUUUGUAGUUCAGGCUGGACCUGAACUCACUAGAUAGCCCAGGCUGGCCUCGAACUCUCGGGGAUCCUCCUGCCUCAGCCUCCCGAGUGCUGGGAUCCCAGGUGUGCGCCACUUCGCCUCGUGUCUUUCUUUGGUGUUUGUUGGCCGUGGUGGCGCACACUUGUAAUACCAGUUAUUUGGGAGGUUGAAGAGGAGGAUUGCAGGUUUGAGCCCAGCUUGGGCAACUUAGUGAGAUUUUGUCUCAAAAUGAAAAUAAAAAGGGGCAGGGGUGUAGCUCAGUGGUAGAGUGCUUGCUUCAUGGGAGACCUAGGGUUGAGUUCCCAGGAUGGGGCGGUAAUAAUGUUUGCUCCCUCAUACACAUGUGCUACCACAAAUUAAAAUGAGUAGGAACCUCUGACAAAAGUUAAGUAUUGUUAAUUAUUGAUAAUUUGGGUAAUUGCUUUUUUUCACUGUAUUGCUAAAAAUGUAUAAAAUAUUUAUGAUUUUUGGUGUGGCUGGGAAAAUUUUCUAUUUAUUGUAAAUAACCAAUAAAAUCUAAAUUAAAGUCAGAUUUCAAAUUGAUUGUAUUUAUGCCUUGGUUUGUAGAUUUUCCCCUUCUUUCAUUUCUAGGAAUUCUCUAGGGAGUUAGUAGCAACCUUAAUAAAAUGGUGUAACUUAGGGAAGGCAUUAGAUGUUAUUCAUCCUACUCUGAGAUGGAUGCCUAGUUUGAACUUUCAUUUUGUUGUGUGUGUUUAGUAACAACAGCAGCAGCAGGAACAACAAAUAUUCCUUUAAAAAAGUUAUGACCGAGUCUCAGAUUGAAGGAGGGUUUGAUGACUGAUUCCUGUUGCUGAGUUCAGCAGACUUUAAGAUGGAAGUCUAUUCAGAAGUACCUGGGAUCGAACUCGGGACCUUGCAUUUGCAAGGCUGGCAGUGGAACCACUGAGCUAAAUCCCCGGCCC